rnacentral:tmRNA from 1 species
GGGGUUGUACUGGUUUCGACGGGGGUUUUGAAGUUGCGGAAGCCAUUCGCGGACUAGGACCGCGUCACCAACUUAGAAUAAAAUUUAAACGCAGACGAUAAUUUAGCGUACGCUGCCUAAUGGCAGCUGUCGAACUUAAGCUUCUUGCGGUUUAAGACCUCGGCAUCAAAUUAGCAAGGCACUUUGUCCUCAAAGCUUUGAGAGGAUAAAAGAAUUAUGAAGCUACUGAAGUCAUGAGCCUGUCAACCGGCGCUUGAUGGAGGGAAUGUGUGAACUUGUUCACGAAAAAGAUUGACUGUAAUGGGAGAUGCUGCAAUGAAUGGGCUUUCGGACAGGGGUUCGAUUCCCCUCAGCUCCAUAC